AAGAAAAAAAAUCUGUCAUCCAAUCAAAAAAAUAGAGAAAGAAUUCUUCUUCAAAAAAAAAAAAAUCUAAAAUCCCAACUUUAGAUUCAUCCAUCUGGCUUCUUUUUCAAGGGAUUAUAUCAAAUUUUCUAUGUGUUUGCGACUAUCUGUGUUGGUUUAGGUUCGACAACUUUUACAUCCAUUCACGGGCUGGCCAUCUGGAUUUUCUUCCUUCAAUUCGAACGUUUUGUUUUGUUCCAAACACACACGUACCAGUUUUUUUAUUUUUUUUUUGGAUCAAUGAAAUAAUGAUGAAAACGGCAUGCAAUAUACGCCAUGAAAUAUACGCCACCAUUGUUUGUUUGUAUUGCAUACAUAAAUGAAACGUUUGAAUUUUCGUAUCUGAAACGUCAGUGACAACAAACCAAAUUAUUAAUGCACAAAAAAAAAAAAAAUAAUACCCAGUGAUAAUGGUGGUUUCAAAAGUCAUCAUCCGAUGCUCUAAUUUUUUUUUCUCCAUUCAUAUUCAGUCCAACCAAAACUAGCCAUCUACAAUUUAUUUAUUUAAACUUUGACAUCCAAAAAUAGACAUCAAAAAGUAAGGAGUUUUUGGCAACCAUUCAACUUUGAACAGGUCGAUGGCCGACACUUUUUUCCACUUUUUUUUUUUUUUUUUUGUUUCGUCUCGAUUCAUUUGAUAUGAUGAUGGUGAAAAAAGAGAAAGAGAGAAAUUCAAGAUUAUCACAUCAAGUCAAAUAUUUCAAGAAUAAAUGAAUGAAUGAACGAAUCAAGUUAUUGUCCGAAUGUUGAAAAGUUGUCCAACAACAACAACAACAACAACAACGACGACGACGACCAUGAUGACGACGACGACUUAUUACUGUCCAUAUAAAAACUUGAAUCGAAUCAAUGAUGCUAAUCGUUUAUAUUUUGACCUUGAAUUGAAAAAAAUUUUUGCCUUGUUUAAAGCAUGUAAAAAUAGUUGUUCCUGAUUUGGAACAAAAAUAAACAAAUGUGAAAUUUCUUUACCGGAUAUUCAAAAUAAUAUAAUGAUAUAUAUA